rnacentral:ribozyme from 1 species
AGAUCAUAAGUUUGAGGCCAUAGCAGAAGUGCUCAUGGAGUGGCCCAGUUAGAUCCCAAAGAAUCUACAAAUUCUGCU